rnacentral:piRNA from 1 species
UGCAAACACCCAGCCUUGGCAGUCACC